rnacentral:rRNA from 1 species
UACGUAGGGUGCAAGCGUUGUCCGGAAUUAUUGGGCGUAAAGAGCUCGUAGGCGGUUUGUCGCGUCUGCUGUGAAAUCCCGAGGCUCAACCUCGGGCUUGCAGUGGGUACGGGCAGACUAGAGUGCGGUAGGGGAGAUUGGAAUUCCUGGUGUAGCGGUGGAAUGCGCAGAUAUCAGGAGGAACACCAAUGGCGAAGGCAGAUCUCUGGGCCGUAACUGACGCUGAGGAGCGAAAGCAUGGGGAGCGAACAGG